AUGCCAUCCUGCUACAUUAGGAAUGAAAGCCAAGUUCUCUGUUCUCAGGACCUUCUGCUGAAUAUGUUUUGGUUUUUCCCUAGAAAAACUAGAACAUUAGACCAAAGAUUGGAGCCCUCCAGCCAAGUCUUGUCAACUUACCUCCCCUGGAGACUGAACAGUGCUUUAAGAUUGGACUCUCCUCCAACCAUGACAGCAACCACUUCUACUUAUUAACUAUUUUUGCCAGAUGCUCCUUUUAUAUUGUUGGUAAGUCUCACAAGAACCAUUUGAGGUAUGUAGCAUUGUCUACCUUGGUAGAUAAACCACAAUUCAGAAUUAGAAAAAUCUAAUGACUUAAUCAAAGCCAAAUAGCUAACAAGUAGAAAAGCAGGUGUCUCUUAUUCUUCUCUUAUUCUAGAAUUUAUGAUCUUCACACUGUAUUUCACUGCCUCUUCUCUGGAACUUUGGCACUAUUCACUCAUCACCCUUAGGGUCUCCUCUUCCAUAGGUAGCAGUGCAUGGGAUCCUCAGAGGUAAAUGCCAGACCAGACUGGACCUGGAUUUGGACAACUGGGGAAGAAGGAGACUUUGCUCCACUGUCCCAACUCUACUUAGAACAGCUUUAUUCUCCUUACAGACAUUAAGAUUUCAUUUUAGAUCAUAUGGUAUUUUUAUGACAAUCCUACAAAGCUCCAGCUCCAGCAUUAUCUCUAGGGCUCCUUUAAAUACAUUUUUUCUCUUAUGAGAAAAGAUAGAUGCAUUAAAAUGUACAUUUUUAGGGACUUUUUUGUACAAACAUAACUACCCUGAAAACUCAUCAUGAUAAUAUUGAUUUUUAGAGAAGUUUAAUUUCAUUCCUGAUCACCAGAAUUCAUAGACAUGAGGUAUAAUAUCCCUAAGAGUUUGAAAAUUUUAUUUAAUUGUAAGCAACUCUUGUUUUCUGAAUUAAAGGAUCCCAUUGAGGCAUAAUGGGACUUCUUGAUUUCCUUUCCCCUGCCUUCUAAAUUUUUCAAAUAAAAUGUAUCAAAUCAAAAUAAUUAUCCA
rnacentral:lncRNA from 12 species